GCAAGUCGUACGUGAAAGUCUUUCGGGAUGAGUAAAGUGGCGAACGGGUGAGUAACACGUAAAUAACCUACCCUCAAAUCUGGGAUACCAUUGCUAACGCGGUGUUAAUACCGGAUGUGAUUAUCGAGACUCCUGUCUUUUUAAUUAAAGGUCCUUCGGGAUCGUUUGAGGAUGGAUUUGCGCACCAUUAGCUUGUUGGUGGGGUAAUGGCCUACCAAGGCGAUGAUGGUUAGCCGACCUGAGAGGGUGAUC
rnacentral:rRNA from 1 species